GUAAAAUUUUCAGUGAAGUGUCUGGAAUUAGGUGGAAGGCAUCGGUACCUUUCUGUCCAAUAGGGAUUAAUGGAUAAUAUAACUCGUAUAUGCUAAUUUAAUGAUCUGUCUUUAUAGGAACCUCAUGAAGAACAAGAACAGAUGAAGUACUGCAGCAACUAAUUGUUUUUUUGUGGUUCACCUGUGACCUUUAGUUUAACCUUCACUCCACAGUGAAAGCAGCAGGAGAAGUUUCACAGACCUUGGGCUAAGCUGCUGGAAGUGAAGGACCAUCUUUGAACAAAAGAUGACAAAAGGAAAAAGCGACACCAACCAUGGCAGCUUCACCAGUCUCAACAGAUUGUGUUUGGAGGGUAAUUAUAAAGUCUGUAAAAUGAUGCCAUAAUACUUUGGAAGACUGGGUGACUCACACUUUGCUGCAGGGCAGCAAAGACUCACUCUCAGUGGUGACAUUUUCCUGGAAAAGGCUUUGACCAGCUGCUCUCAACUCUGUAAUGAUUGACAGUGUCCA
rnacentral:lncRNA from 1 species